rnacentral:rRNA from 1 species
GGCGAACGCUGGCGGCAUGCUUAACACAUGCAAGUCGAACGGCAGCACAGUAAUAGCUUGCUCUUACGGGUGGCGAGUGGCGGGCGGGAGACGAAUACAUCGGAAUCUACUUUUUCGUAGGGCUUAACGUAGGGGAACUUACGCUAAUACCGCAUACGACCUACGGGUGAAAGCAGGGGAUCUUCGGACCUUGCGCGAUUGAAUGAGCCGAUGUCGGAUUAGCUAGUUGGCGGGGUAAAGGCCCACCCAGGCGACGAUCCGUAGCUGGUCUGAGAGGAGGAUCAGCGACACUGGAAGUGAGACACGGUCAAGACUCCUACGGGAGGCAGCAGUGGGGAAUAGUGGACAAUGGGGGGAAGCAUGAUCCAGCCAUACCGCGUGGGUGAAGGAGGCCUUCGGGUUGGAAAGACGUUUUGUUGGGAAAGAAAAGCAGCAGGUUGAUACGCCGCUGUUCUGACGGUACCCAAAGAAUAAGCACCGGCUAACUACGUG